AAUUGAAUUAUUUAAUGGACAUAUACAUAAGUUAGAUGUUUAUGUACAUGAGUAUAUACCUAUACAUAAAUAAAUAGGAUGCUCAUUCGCAUAUUAAUAUGUACAUAUGUAGGUAUGUAUAUGAAUGUACAAUGUACAUUGGACAACUCAUGUCAUCAUAAAUGGUGUUAACUUUGUUCAUUUAUUAAUGCAUAAUGACGAAUGUAUUUAGUGUAAGGAUUAAUUGCCAGUAAUUUAUUAUUGCAAUUAAAAUGUUUGAAAAAGGCUUGUUGAGGUUAGUGACGAAUGGUCACGCUGUCACAAAAGAUUACUUACAUAACUUAUCAACUGAGGAUGUAUGAGUAACCUGUCAGGUCUACAUACAUACUUAUGUAGCUAUUACAUAAAUAGUUAUGACCACGUGUGAUUACAAUUUUUUAGAUUAGGAGUAGCCAUAAACAUGGAUACGAUUUCAAUACGGGUGUUAUAAAGGCUAACUGGCUGGAAGAGGAUCGAAAUACGCAUGUAUUAUCUAUUUCGUUUGGUGUAAGUACAAUUAUGCAUUUUGCCAUACAUUGUAAAUACAUACUACGGACCCAGGAACUUUUUGUUGUAUAACUUUUUGUGAAUGAGUCAAGCAUUACACAUGUACAAACAUAUGUAUCACAACUUGACACAAAAUUAUUGAGCAUUGCAUAGUCUCAAAGCUAAAAUAAAUAUGUAAAUAUGACAAAAAUAUUAGAAAAUUUACAUGAACACUUUUAUGGAUAUGUAAACUCAGAACCCGAACAAAGAUUUCAGGAUCCCCAUCUAAAGAUAAUAAAUAAAAUAUCUAAUUUCAAUAUUUUCUAAUUUUAUGUAAGACAGUAAAUUACGAUAAUGGAUGGUACUAGAUGAGAAAUAAUUAAGACUUGCAAAGGCAAGAGUUGUACAUUGUCCAAGAUUGAAAAUUAGAAUAAUUUAUUUCGCAAAAUUUGGUCCAUUAAAUAAUCACUAUAAAGGAUGUAACAAUUAAUAAAAAUCAUUGCCAAAGUUAAAUAACCUGCAUAGCGAGAAUAUUUCAUACAGCAUUAGCUGACUAAUUAAUUGUGUAUCUAAAGAGGAAGCAAAAGGUUGUUACCCUGCCGGUCUGGAAUUUCUGCGGACAUAAAAUUCUUAUUUAAUUCAACUCUACACAAAUUCAGCUUCCCGGUAUAAAUAACUUAACUCCCAAUCGGACAAACAAUUCGGAAUUCCGAGCAAAAGACUUGCCUAGACGGGAGCAGUAAUCAAAUGAAAGAGCCAUGCAAAGGCGCCAUCGACCACUGUGACGCUGGUUGGCGAAUGAUCCACGAAGAGAUACCCUACGCCAUACCGCAAUGUUACUGCGUCCGGCCCUUCAACUAUGAAGAAGUGGAAGAGAUCAGGGCCUGCAAGUGCGAAAACUUCCUGGACCAAUGCCUCCGUCAGUAUGGAAUGUUGUACUCGUGCGGAAGGGCGACGGAGGAAUGCUUCGAAGAAAGGAUAAAGAAGGAAUGCGCUAAUAAGAUAAACAACAAUGAGAAGGAGUACGAGAUCCUUUGCAGUUUUGAGGAUAAGGCCCGUGAAAAAUCUGAGAAAUCUGGUGGAGGCAGGGCCCGACCUAAUGUCUACCUGGACACAAAGUUUGGGGCGCCGCUACCGAUAGUCGGAGGUCAUGAUGACCAUCCUCUCCUUGAAUAAAAUCAUAUUUUGAAUAAUUUUUCACAAAGUAUGUAUUGGCUGAAUAGUUAAUUGUGUACCAAUAAAUAGGAAGAAAAAGGUUGUUAUAGGCCCGGAA